GACGAACGCUGGCGGCGUGCUUAACACAUGCAAGUCGAACGGAAACGCCCUGCUUUUGUUGGGUGCUCGAGUGGCGAACGGGUGAGUAACACGUGAGUAACCUGCCCUUGACUUUGGGAUAACUUCAAGAAACUGGGGCUAAUACCGGCUAGGAGCUCCUGCUGCCUGGUGGGGGUUGGAAAGUUUCGGCGGUUGGGGAUGGACUCGCGGCUUAUCAGCUUGUUGGUGGGGUAGUGGCUUACCAAGGCUUUGACGGGUAGCCGGCCUGAGAGGGUGACCGGCCACAUUGGGACUGAGAUACGGCCCAGACUCGUACGGGAGGCAGCAGUGGGGAAUAUUGCACAAUGGGCGGAAGCCUGAUGCAGCAACGCCGCGUGCGGGAUGACGGCCUUCGGGUUGUAAACCGCUUUCGCCUGUGACGAAGCGUGAGUGACGGUAAUGGGUAAAGAAGCACCGGCUAACUACGUG
rnacentral:rRNA from 1 species